rnacentral:rRNA from 1 species
GAUGAACGCUAGCGGCAGGCCUAACACAUGCAAGUCGAGGGGUAACAGAGAGAGCUUGCUCUUUGCUGACGACCGGCGCACGGGUGCGUAACGCGUAUACAAUCUACCUUUUGCUGGGGGAUAGCCUUUAGAAAUGAAGAUUAACACCCCAUAGUAUGUAGAGUUGGCAUCAACUUUAUAUUAAAGGUUACGGCAAAAGAUGAGUAUGCGUCCUAUUAGCUAGAUGGUGUGGUAACGGCACACCAUGGCAACGAUAGGUAGGGGCCCUGAGAGGGGGAUCCCCCACACUGGUACUGAGACACGGACCAG